UGGGGGAUAUUGCACAAUGGGCGAAAGCCUGAUGCAGCGACGCCGCGUGGGGGAUGAAGGCCUUCGGGUUGUAAACUUCUUUUGCUCUGAACAAGGCAUGCUAAUGGGUGUGUUGAGUGUAGGGGUUGAUUAGCGCCGGCUAACUACGUGCCAGCAGCCGCGGUAAUACGUAGGGCGCGAGCGUUGUCCGGAAUUAUUGGGCGUAAAGGGCUUGUAGGUGGCUGGUUGCGUCUGUCGUGAAAGCUCAUGGCUUAACUGUGGGUUUGCGGUGGGUACGGGCUGGCUUGAGUGCAGUAGGGGAGGCUGGAAUUCCUGGUGUAGCGGUGGAAUGCGCAGAUAUCAGGAGGAAUACCGGUGGCGAAGGCGGGUCUCUGGGCUGUUACUGACACUGAGGAGCGAAAGCAUGGGGAGCGAACAGG
rnacentral:rRNA from 2 species